UACGUAGGGGGCAAGCGUUGUCCGGAUUUAUUGGGCGUAAAGAGCGUGUAGGCGGCCAUACAGGUCCGUUGUGAAAACUGGAGGCUUAACCUCCAGACGUCGAUGGAAACCGUAUGGCUAGAGUCCGGAAGAGGAGAGUGGAAUUCCUGGUGUAGCGGUGAAAUGCGCAGAUAUCAGGAGGAACACCGAUGGCGAAGGCAGGUCACUGGGCCGCAACUGACGCUGAGGAGCGAAAGCAUGGGGAGCGAACAGG
rnacentral:rRNA from 1 species